CAAUUUGAAAUUUGAAAUGUAUGCUUUAUGUUCUUUCAUUUGAUAUGCGACAACUUUACCAUCUGAGAAAUUUGAAUUUUUGCACUAAAUGACCCCACCCUUCCCCCUGGGAUGAAAAAGAGGUUUAAAAUUUUCAUUUUUAAGCAGAGUUUAUUGAGACCUUCAAUUUGAUAUAUCAGUUGACCCCAUUUGACAAAGUGUCAAAAAUGAUGCAAUAUCAACGAUAUAAAUAGAAGUUAUGAAACUUACAAAGUCAAUGCAAAACAUGAAAAUUUCAAAAUGAUUUUUUGGUGUUUUUUUCCAUGGAAUGUUUUUGGUAUUUGGUCAAACAUAUAAAUAUGUGAACCUCUUCAAUUUCUUUAACAUUUUAAGUGGUAAACUGUUGUUGAUUCAGAAAUAGAUGCCGCCGCUUGCAAAAUUUCAAACUGCAUUAUCUCUAAAACGACAAUAGAUAUCUCAAAUCUGUUAAAUGGUAAAUGAUCUACAGUUAAAUGACAACAUUAUAGAAAAGAGAAUUUGGACAAUUUCAAAGUUCACCAAGGUCACAAUUAACCAUCAACUAUAUGAUGCAAUACAAAACUUAAGAACCGGAAAUCGUAGAGACAUGGGACUAUCACCAUUCAACUCAGGACCACUUGACCUUUCAAAUAUCACAAGGUCAAGGUCAUAGUAUAAUGUGAAGGUCAAGGUGAAAUUUCAUCAUGACCUGACAUUGACCUCAAAUUGAAGGUCUUGAAUUACUGAUCAUCUUUGCAGUUUGUAGUAGGUUGAUAUCUGUUACCUUUAAAAAAGAUAUACACAAAAUACUAUAUUUAUAAGAAUCAUCCCGUUGUAACUUUUGAACAGACGGUCGGACAUUUUUGGGCGAAUUAUAUAAAAUGUAGAGCUCGUCGAGAGGAACAUUUUAUACGCUGUAUGUAGGCAGCCAAGUCUUAUCGUUUUCCUAAUAUGUAAGCUUUAAAUUGACCUUGGGUGCAUAUUGAAGGUCACAUGCAUUAAAGAUUAUUGGUGAAGGUCCCAAGUCUCUACGACUUCCGGUUCUCGAAAUAGAUUUUUUCUAAAAUUGUGUACAAUUUAUCAAGGGAAAUAACUCCUUAUAAGGGUUAAUAACAAAAUAAUUGUAUAUGUUCAUUAACAUUGCUCUCUGUUCCUGUACAUGUUGCCGUUUUCAAAUCGAUUCUAUCUCUAAUACUUUUUAAGAAAAAAUGCAAAGGAAAGAAAUCGUUUCAAGGGGAUAUAACUCUCAUAGGGGAAGAUGAAAUCCUAUUCAGCCUCAUAUGGUAAUACAUCAUGAUGAGACAAAUAAGGUCAUGAUAUCUUUAAAAACAACGAGGGGGGGCUAUGUUGAAAAAAAAUCAAUAAAAGGGAGAUACCUUCAUAAGGGGAUGAUGAAAUCCUUAACAAUGUCAUCUGGUAAUACUUCAUGAUGAGGUCUAUCGAUGGUUACUAUUUGGUAUUCAUAACUUCAAAAUAAACAAGAUGCGGGCAUGUCAAAAAAAUGUUGGAAGAAAAAAAAGAAAAAAAAAAAAAAAACAUUAGAAAAACAAUAAGGUCUUUCCUCGCGUAGAGGAAAGACCUUAAAAAUGACAAAACUUACGAUACCAGGAAUUAAGGUGGUAUGGGAGUCUAAAAUAAAAAUGAUAGAAUUUGUUCAUACUUUGCCAAAACGUUGUAUCUAUUGAUAUAUGUUGAAAAAUAUAAUAAAAAUGAUAGGUCACCGCGCAUUUUCUCAAGCUACAGGACUGGACAAAAUGACACAUUUUGUAUGGAUUAAACAGGAAAAAACACCAUUUUGUAAUUAGAAACUAAACAAAAUGAUAGAAUUGUUAAAUACUUCAGGAAAAGAUAGCUUUCAGACACUGCUUUGAGAAUAUCAAAAGAAAAGAUAGGGUCACCGUACGUUUUUUCCGGCUAAAAUACAAAAUAGGAAAAUUCCAUACAGAAUCCUUCAAAAAAUGCACUUUUUUAGAGUUACCUCCCCUUAAAAUGCCAAUUUGAAAAAAAAAUAAAAACAACCAAAAAUAAUUAACAUUUGCAAAAAUAUCAAUAUUUAGAAGUUAUAUUCUUAUAAAUUGGUACUUUUAAAUGAAAAUAUACAUUAAACAUCUGCAUUCCUGCAUCAAAUUUUCUCACUUGAUGGAAAAUCUGGACCUUUGAUUCUCUGUUUUUUACAAUCCAAGAUGGAGGAAGACACCCAUACCACCUUAAAGUAAACAAAACAGAUGUAAAUAUUAAGUAUACACCUUAUGGUGAUACCCAACACCUUCACUAAAAUUAAUUUGAUUCGUUUAAUUUUCAUAAAAUUUUGACAAAGCAUUUACUUUGACUCUUUGACAAAAACAUAAAAAAAAUAAAAAAAUUGAACCAACCAUUUUAUCAGAAAAAUGCAAUGGUUACAUAGCAGUUUGACAAACAAUAAUUUUGAUCAUUGAGAAGCUAAAUAUUUCCUUAACAACACAACGUGAAUAAAUGUUUAGCUGAUUUUACAGAGUUAUAUCCCUGUAGUGUUAGGUAACACCUUCAUUGACAUAUAAAAGAUAUGAAUCAGAUCAGCAAGAUAUGCAGUAUAAAAUGUUAUUAAAAAAAAUCCUAAAAAUUGCUUGACACAUUCGAGACAUGUGAAUAAUAGCAACAACUGUUUGAAGGCAUCACCUUGUAAGAGCCACAUACAUUUUCAAUUUUGUGUUGCUCAUGGUUUAUUUCUAAAUAAUUUCUAAAAGUUACUGGAUAUUGUAUCAGAAAAAUACAGGGGUGGCUUCAUUCCCCCCCUU
rnacentral:lncRNA from 1 species